AUUGAACGCUGGCGGCAUGCCUUACACAUGCAAGUCGAACGGCAGCACGGGGGCAACCCUGGUGGCGAGUGGCGAACGGGUGAGUAACAUAUCGGAACGUGCCCUGGAGUGGGGGAUAACUAGUCGAAAGACUAGCUAAUACCGCAUACGAUCUACGGAUGAAAGUGGGGGAUCGCAAGACCUCAUGCUCGUGGAGCGGCCGAUAUCUGAUUAGCUAGUUGGUGGGGUAAAGGCCUACCAAGGCAUCGAUCAGUAGCUGGUCUGAGAGGACGACCAGCCACACUGGGACUGAGACACGGCCCAGACUCCUACGGGAGGCAGCAGUGGGAAUUUUGGACAAUGGGCGCAAGCCUGAUCCAGCAAUGCCGCGUGAGUGAAGAAGG
rnacentral:rRNA from 1 species